rnacentral:rRNA from 1 species
CAGCCGUAAACUAUGCGCGUUAGGUGUAUCGGUGACCACGAGUUACCGAGGUGCCGAAGGGAAACCGUGAAACGUGCCGCCUGGGAAGUACGGUCGCAAGGCUGAAACUUAAAGGAAUUGGCGGGGGAGCACCACAACAGGUGGAGCCUGCGGUUUAAUUGGACUCAACGCCGGGAAGCUCACCGGAUAGGACAGACAUAUGAUAGUCGGGCUGAAGACUCUACUUGAUGAUCUGAGAGGAGGUGCAUGGCGUCAGUGACU